rnacentral:lncRNA from 1 species
UUAAUAAGGUUUACGAGGAAAAAAAGUGAUGGUCCAAUUAGGCAACCCAUCAGGCCAUGCGGACUCGUCUGACAACCGGCCUGUAAUCCUUCCACUGCCAGGAGAGAGAGAUGGUCGCUGCUCUGUGAAGCCAGCCUAACGCAGUACCCUCUGCUCUAGGAACCAGGAAAGCCAAGCCUUCGCUUGAGUCCCAUGGUUCAACUCCCAGCUUGGAAUGGGCAAGCCAGAAAUUAGCCAGACCGAAUCCAACCAUCUGGGCUGGGACAACGUCCCAUCACCUCAUAGCCCCCACUCGGGUAACAAGCCCACGCUACUGAGCUCGGCAGUCCACAAGCGUUUGCAUCGAUUCUAUCAAUUAUUCAAAAAAGUUUCUUCUGCCCGAUGUGGGAUUGAGACUUCAUGCAGGAGCAGUCGCCAGUGCCACUAAGCAGCUUGGAACAUGUACCAUUUCAAUACCCAUUUUAGAAAAAGCAGUGGGAAGCCAUCGAAUUCACACGUUUCAUGCAUGCAUUUAUUGAAAUUUUUUACAAAAAGAAAAAGAAAAAUCGCUUAAAAAUUCAUCUCUAUAAAUAACUACCUGCAUGGCAUAGGAGUGGAACAAGGAAAUAAACCCAAACCCUUGUAUUUUUUUUCUCCAAUAAGGUUAAUUUUAUUUUUUUUAUUAAAUAUAUUUAUAAUUUUGUAUUAUAAUCAAAUAAAUUUAAACAUAUUAAAAUAUUAAUAUUUCACUAUAUUUAUAAUAUCUUGAUUUCUUUUUUUAUAAAACUUGUGAUAAGUUAAUUUUUAAAAUUUUUUUUAUGAAAAGCUAUACGGUAAUAAAUUUAAAUUUAAAAGUGCUCAUAAAAUUUAACAAUCCAAUUGCUUUACCACUUUGAGGAUCAUUAUUUCCAUUUUUAUUAAUAUAUUUAAAAACAUAAUAAAAAUAAAUGUAUCAAAUUAAUUAAUAACAUCUAACAACUCAAUUGUUUUAUUCUUUUGUGGAUCAUUAUUUUUAUUUUUAUUAAUAUAUUCAAAAAUAUCAAUCACUGAUAAAAAUAAAUAUAUCAAAUUAAUUAAUAUAUUAUAAUGAGAAUUCGAACAAGUAUUUUCUGACAUCUUUAUUGUCAUUUUUAGGUUUAAACCUUAUCUAAUUGCUAUUUCUUCAAUUCCAAUCCUUUCGAUUACUUUUCCUCUUUUAUUUUCCUUAAACAUAUCUUUCUUUUACAAAAACCUCCAAUAAUACUGUACAAAAAUGCAAUAGUAUUAAAAAAAUAUUUAUACGUAAAUGUUUUUUAAUAAUAGCAAUAAGUGUGAGUUGAAAUUGAUGAACAAAACAAUGGAUAUAAUAAACACUAGAAUUCUCUCUUAAAACCAAACUCUUAAACUCAUUAAAUUCCCCUCGCAUAAUACUAGCUCCAUCAUAUCCUUAACCCCUCAAACUUGAAACACUCAAACUAUGAGUAGAUAAUAAAAACUCUAUAAUUUUUUUAAGUGCAUUGCACAAUACCAAAAAUCUUUCAACAACACAUCAAAAUUUAUUAACAUAACGAAUAACAAUUUUCAUUUGCACUUUCAUGAUAUAUCCCGACACAUCAACUGAAAUGGAAAAUAAAUCAUCCCCUAAAUCUCUAAUUAUAGCCUUUGUUGUUUCAAGUCCACAUACAUGGUAUCUUUUUGAACAGAAAGAGUUAUGAGUUUCAAAUUCUCGAGAGCAUUUUUUAACACUGCAUUAUUAAUUUUUUCAUUAUAUGAAGCUAAUACCUUCGUCAAUUCAAUAAAAUUUCAUGGAUUUAAUGAUUGUUCAGACUCAUUAUUUCCUCGAAAAGCCAAAUCUUGCAUCAAGAGAUAACGGGAGAUAAAUAAUCAGUGCAUUUAAUCUACAACAAUACUUAAUUUUUGACUUUUCUAAUUGUUUUAAAAUAGAUUCUUCAAUGUGUUAGACUUGAUUCAUUAAAUCUUGACAAGCUAGACAAUAUCUAUUAUGCUCGCCAUUAUGGUCUCCUACAUAUUCUCUCAAUUUUUCCUUUUAUCUCCAAUUAGUAAAAAUUUCGAUAACAAAACUAUCAUAACCCUUUUCACUACGUCCAAAUAAAAAAAUAUAACAAUAUAAAUAAUAUGUAACAUCUUUAUUUAUAUUAUAUUAUAACAAACUCCCAAAUUUAUCAAACCAAUACACAAUAAAUUUUCUAUUCCAUCUACUCUUUGAUGAGAUUUAUGACAGCGUGGUUGAUACAGACCUUUUACUAGGUAAGCUCCGCAUACUUGAUUUCUAGUAUCAGAUAAAUGCAUUAUUAUGUUAGGCUGAAGUCCUGGAUUAGAUGGAAUUCUCAAGAGUAACUUAGGUGAAAUUGAUUAAACAAAUUGAUUCACCAAUAAUAAUGACGAUGCAUUUAUUAAUAUUUUUUUAAAGAAUUGCUUCAUCCCUAUAAUAAUACACAGAAUUUAAAUACAUUAAUAAUUUAAUUUAACGUUUAUUGUUAAAAUUUAUUUUUUAAAAUAUAAUAUUUAUUAAUUUAUCUAAAGUCAUAUUUGACUAAAAUUUAAAUUAUUAUCCAUUAAAAAAUAUUUAAAAUUUAUUUAAUUUUUCAACAUUAACUAGACAUAAACUAUUACCCAUAAAAAUAUAUUUAAUAUUUACAAAAAAAUUUUAAUUUUAAUUAAAUAUAAACUAUUAUCCAUAAAAAUUAUAUUUAAUAUUUACAUAAUUUUUUAAUUUUUAUUAUACUAAAUUAUUAUCCAUAAUUACAAAGUUCGUAAUUAUCCGUGUUAAUAAGGUUUACGAGGAAAAAAAAGUGAUGGUCCAAUUAAGCAACCCAUCAGGCCAUGCGGACUCGUUUGACAACCGGCCUGUAAUCCUUCCACUGCCAGGAGCGAGAGGUGGUCGCUGCUCUGUGAAGCCAGCCUAACGCGGUACCCUCUGCUCUAGGAACCCAGGAGAGCCAAACCUUCGCUCGAGUCCCAUGGUUCAACUCCCAGCUUGGAAUGGGCAAGCCAGAAAUUAGCCAGACCGAAUCCAACCAUCUGGGCUGGGACAACGUCCCAUCACCUCAUAGCCCCCACUUGGGUGACAAGCCCGCGCUACUGAGCUCGGCAGUCCGCAAGCGUUUGCAUCGAUUCUAUCAAUUAUUUAAAAAAAUUUCUUCUGCCCGAUGUGGGAUUGAGACUUCAUGCAGGAGCAGUCGCCAGUGCCACUAAGCAGCUUGGAACAUGUACCAUUUCAAUACCCAUUUUAGAAAAAGCAGUGGGAAGCCAUCGAAUUCACACGUUUUCAUGGUGAUGAACAUGCAUUUAUUGUAAUUUUUUACAAAAAGAAAAAGAAAAAUCGCAUAAAAAUUCGUCAUCUCAAUAAAUAAAUACCUGCAUGGCAUAGUAGUGGAACAAGGAAAUAAACCCAAACCCUUGUAUUUUUUUUUUUUGGCUCCAGUAAGCUUAAUUUUUUAUUAAAUAUAUCUAUAAUUUUGUAUUAUAGUCAAAUAAAUUCAAACAUAUUAAAAUAUUAAUAUUUUACUAUAUUUAAAUUUAUUUAGCCCUUAAUUUAAAGAUAUGAACAUAUAUAAUUAAAAAAUUAAAAUUGAACUUAUAUAGUCUUGGUAAAAAGUAUAGAGUCAAAUUUGAAUUUGUGGGUAUAUUAUACAAUUUUAAUAUAAUUAUAUAUUUAUAUGUACUAUUAUUAUUAUUAUUAUUUACAAUUAUAACUAAUACUUUUUAUAUACUUACCUGUUCUUAAUAAUUUUAUUAAUUGUAAAUACAUCAGAUCAUUUUAUCAUACUGAGCUAUAGUUUUUUUUAAUUAUAAUUACUAGUGUAUUACUAUGUUUUAAUAUAUUUAAUAAUUUAUUACAUAUAUACUUCAGCUAUAACUAAAAUAUAUAUUAAAUGUUGAUUGAUACCACCAUCUUUAUUUUUCUUUUUAAAAAAAAACUGUAAAUAUAUUAAGAAGGGAAAAUUACUUUUUAGUCCCUGAGAUUUAACGUAAUUAACACUUCUGUCCCUCUAUUUUGGAGACCCAACACUUAAAUCCCUCACUUUCUUUUCUGUCCAAAUUCGUAGUCCUUCCGUCCAAAAUAGCCAUUUGGAACACGUGAAUUGACAAAAUUAACUCUCACUAAAAAUCCCGCUAUUUCAAAAUCAUAAAAUUCAAACCCAAAUACCUCUUCUUCUUCUUCUUAUUCUUCUUCUUCUUCUUCUUCCUACCCUUUCUGCAACUUCUUCUUCUUCUUCUUCUUCUUCUUCUUCUUCUUCUUCUUCUUCUUCUUCUUCUUCUUCCUACCCUUUUUGCAACUUCUUCUUCUUCUUCUUCUUCUACAACUGGAAAAAACAUGAAAGAAAAAAAAAAAAGAAUUUCACAUUGAGAGAAGGGCAUUUUUAGAAAAAAUUAUCACCUCUCACCUUUGACUCUUUGACCAAACGGUUUAACUGGACGGAAGGACUACGAAUUUGGACGGAAGAGAAAGUGAGGGACUUAAGUGUUGGGUCGCCCAAAUAAAGGGACAAAAGUGUUAAUUACGUUAAAUAUCAGAAACUAAAAAAUAAUUUUUUCUAUUAAGAAUUUAGAAUCAGACCGAAACUAAAAUAAUAAAGAAUAAAAAACCAAAACUUACGAAAAUGUUAGUUCAGUUUCAAUUCCUGAAAUUAAAUCAAAACCAAACACCCACUUAUUUAUUAUUUAUUGUCAAUAUUACGUAUUUGUGGGUGUUUAUAUAUGUACACAUUUAAUAAAAGUUUAUUGAAUAAAAAAAUUUAAAUAUUUAUAAUUUUUUUACAUUUAUAUCUUAUGAUUAAAAUUUUACAUCAAUUUUAGUUAUUUGACUCAAUUAAUUUUGAUUUAAUUUUUUUACUUUAUCAUAUUAUAUAGAAUUUUUUUAAAAAAAUUUAUGGGAUAAAAAAAAUUUAAAAAUUUAUAUUUAUAUCUAAAAUUUUAAAUUUUAGAUAAUAAAAUUAAAAUUAGUUUAAUUUACCAUAAUUAUAAUUAAGGGAUCUAAAUGAAUCUGAACAUUUAAUGGUAGCUUACAAUAUAGUUCUUAAAAUUUUAUUUGACUAAUAAAAUAGUCCUAAAUACAUAUUUUUAUUUCAACAAUAUUAUUUUUUUAAUCUUAUUAUUUAUUUUUUAAUUUCAUUUAUAUAGUUUAAUAAAAAUUUAAAAUGUAAAAAUUUAUAAACUAAAAUAUAUAAUAUUUUAUUUUAUUUAAUAUUAUUAAUAUAAAAUAUUUUAUCCUAUAGAACAAUAAAUUAAUUUACAUUAGAAAUUUACUUAUUAUAUAAAUGAACAAAUAAAAUAAUAAAUAUUUUAAAUAACUUGUGAGAGAUGUGCUUAGAAAAUAUAAAUUUUUAUAAAAAUAAUUAAAAAAAAGCAUAAAGUUUUGAAUAGUCCCAGCAUAAUUCGUCUCCUGCAGUGGAAACGAUUGUUCAGAGCUGGUAUGCGUAAAGUUACACACCUUUUUAACACAUUUCAUUUAAAAAGCAUAAUAUCGGAGGCAAAUUAAUUUUAAGUUAUUUUUCUGAGUAUGUUUUAGCAAAAUUUAUUAUUUAAUUUUUAUGGUAUAAAAAAUUUUAUAAAUUAGAUUUUUUAUUUUAAAAAAUAUAAUAAAAUAUUUUUAAAAUUAUAAAAAAUUUAUAAGUUAGUCAUUCUAUUCAUUUCAUUCAGUGAUGGAUCCAGAAAUUUUGUAAUUUAAAUUAAAUAAAUAAUUAAAAAAUAAUAUAUAUUAAAAAAAUACAUUAUAAAAAAUUGAUAAGUAGUUAUAAUAAAAUUAAAAUAUUUUUAAAUUUUUUUCAUUACUUAAAAUCUAUUCAUAAUAUUUUUAUUAUCUACAUUUACAAAUACAUUUCUUAAAUUAUUUAAACAAUCAUUCAAUAAAUUAUCCAUUUUAUUACGAAGUCGAUUUUUGAUGAUGGGCAUUAUAGAAAAUACUCUUUUAACUAUUGUGGUAAUAAUUGAUAAGAGCAAUAAUAAUUUAACCAACGUAUACAUUAAGAAAAUACAAUAUACUUUUUUGUAGCUACCAUAUUAUCAAUAAAAGCUCCAAUUCUUUUCACAUCGGAAAAUUUCUUAUUCAUACGCAUAUUAAAGAUAAAGUUCUCAAGUUGAGAUUCAAGUUCAAGUUGAGCAACUGGAGAAAAUUCACAUAGAUAAAAUUUUGCAAGGUCAAUUAAUUUGCUCACUUCAUCAAAAUGAUUAUUAAGUUCUUGAAGCUGCACAUCAAGAACAAAGUAGAAUAACUCAAUACGGUAGAAAUGAAUAUUUGUCAUCUUUUCAGUUCUUCUUCUUGAUCUUCUUCUUAUUGUGUACAAAUCAUCCAUCUCUAAUACUAUUAUAUCAUGUUUAUCACAAAAUUGUACUAUUUUAAAUAAUAAAGAUUCUCAAUCAUCAUCUCUUACCAUUUGCAAACGACAUUUGAAAACUUUAAUUAGCUGCAUAGUAUUUAUAAUAUAUUAAUCCAUUCUUUGCAAAACUUGUGGUAAGUCAUUAGUGAUUUUUGAAAAUUUUCUCAUAAGAAACAAUAUAAAAACAAAUUCAAAAUGACUCAUAACAUCUAGCAACUCAAUCGCUUCACCCCUUUAUGGAUCAUCAUUCUUAUUUUCACCAAUAUACUCAAAGAAUAAAUAAAUGUAUCAAAUUAAUUAAUGUACUAUAAUAAGAACUCCAACGAGCAUCUCCUGGUCUCUUUAUUAUCAUUUCUUGGUUUAAACUUGUCCACUUGUUAUUUCUUCAAUUUCAAUCCCUUCAACUACUUUCCCUCUUUGCUUUUCCUGAACCAUUUCUCUUCUUUUACAAAAACCUCCAAUAACAUUGUAUAAACAUCCAAUAACAUUGUAUAAACAUGCAAUGGUAUUAAAAAAAAUAUUUAUGCUUAAAUGUUCUUUAGCAAUAGCAAUAAGUGUGAGUUGGAGUUGAUGAGCAAAACAAUAAAUAGAUAUAAUAAGCACUAGUAGGGGUGAGCAGUAUUCGGUUUAAACCGAAAAAAUCGACCGAAUCGAAUUAAUUUUAAAAUUCAGUUCGGUUUUUUAUUCAAUUCAGUUCGAUUCGGUUUUUAAUUUCAAAAAUUUCGGUUAUUUUGGUUCGGUUCAAUUUUGAUAAUAAAAAAAUCGAAAAAAUUGAACCGAACCGAUUAGUGAUAAUAAUAUAUUAUUUUCAAUAAUAUAGAGAAAUUAAAUUAUAUUAAAUUAUAUUAAGAUUAAAAUAUUUUAAUUAAAUUUUAAAAUAUUAAAAUAAAGUGUAAAAAAUAAAAAAUUUAUUAAAAAUCGAAACUGAUCAAACCGAAUCGAACCAAAUCAGACCGUUUCGAUUCGAUUCAAUUUUUGAUCAAAAUCGAUUCGGUUUGAUUUUUAUAAAUAAUAAAAUUUCAAUUUUCGAUUGAUUCGGUUCGGUUCGAUUUUGAACCGAACCGAUCUAAUGCUCACCCCUAAGCACAAGAAUUCUCCGUUAAAAUCAAACUUUUAAGCCAAUUAAAUUACCCUCGCAUAUUACUAGCUCCACCAUAUUCUUGCCCCCUUAAACUUGAUAACUCAGACCAUAAGUAGAGAAUAAAGGCUCUAUAGCUUUUUUAAGUGAUGAUGCACUAGUAUCAUUGACAGCCACAGUACCCAAAAGUCUUUCAACAACACAUCCAAAUUUAUUAACAUAAUGAAUGACAACUCCUAUUUAUUAUUCAUUGAUACAUCCCGACACAUCAACUAAAAUGGAAAGGGAGAUUUACUAUUUAGUCCUUAGGUAUUACCAUUAUUAACAAGUCAGUUCCUGUCUUUUUAGAAAUAUAUUAAAAUGUCCUUAUAUUUUCUCUCCGUUAACAAAAUAGUCCUUUCACCCUCUUUUCGAUUAAAAAUAGAUAAAGGAUGAGAGAAAAAAUUUUUAAAAUCUUAUUUUGUCCUCAAAUAAAAUCCCUUAUUUAAUCCUUGGAUAUUAUUAUGAUUAACAAGUUAGUCCCUAUAUUUUUAGAAAUAUAUUAAAACGUUCUUAUCGUUUCUUUCCGUCAACAAAAUAGUCUAUCUUCCUCCUCUUCCUCCUCAAAAAAAAAGAAAAAAAGAAGAAGAAUCGCCUGAAGAAGAAUCGCUUGCUCUUUCUCCUCCUCCUCCUUAAAGAAGAAGAAUAAAAAGAAAAAUCGAAGAAUAAUCAAAGAAGAAGAAGAAGAAGAAAAGGAGAAAGAAUCGAUAAAGAAGGAGGAGGAGGAAGAGAAGAAGAAGAGAGUAAUUUGAUCUUUUACUAUAUUUUUAACGGCAGAAAUAGAUGGAAUGACUAUUUUGUUGAUGGAAAGAAAAGAUAAGUACGUUUUAAUAUAUUUCUGAAAAUACAGAGACUAACUUGUUAUUAAUGACAAUAUCCAGGGGCUAAAUUAUAAAUCUCUCAAAUAGAAAAUAAAUCAUCCCCCAAAUCUCUAAUUAUAUCAUUUAUUGUUUCAACUACACAUACAUGACAUCUUUUUGAAUAGAAAGAGUUAUGAGUUUCAAAUUAUCAGGAGCAUUUUUCAACAUUACAUUAUUAAUUUUCUAAUUACAUGAAACUAACACUUUCGGCAAUUCAAUAAAAUUUCAUAGAUUUAAUGAUUUUUCAUACUCAUUAUUCCCUCAAAAAGCCAAACCUUGCAUCAAGAGAUAAUGGAGACAAACAAUCAGUGUAUUUAAUCUACAACAAUACUUAAUAUUUGACUUUUCUGAUUGUUUUGAAAUAGACUUUUCUGAUUAUUUUGAAAUAGACUCUUCAAUGUGUUGAACUUGGUUCAUUAAAUCUUGACAAGCUAAACAUUAUCUAUUAUGAUCGCUAUUAUGGUCUCCUACAUGUUCUCUCAAUUUCUCAUUUUUCCUCCAAUUAGUAAAAAUUUCGGUAACAAAAUUAUCAUAACCUCUUUCACUACGCCCAGAUGAAAAAAGAUAACAAUAUAAAUAAUAUGCAGCAUCUUUAGCUGUGCUAUAUUCUAACCAACUCCCAAAUUUAUCAAACCAAUAUAUAAUAAAUCUUCUAUUUCGAUUUUCAUAUACUCUUUAAGGAAAUUUAUGACUGCGUGGUUGACACAAGCCUUUUACUAGGUAAGUUCUGCAUACCUGAUUUCUAAUAUCACACAAAUACAUCAUUAUUUUAGGCCGAAGUCCUGGAUCAGAUGGAAUGUUUCAAUAUCAACUUCACAAUUCUCAAUAGAAACUUACGUGAAGUUGAUUGAACAAGUUGAUUCACCGAUAAUGACGACAAUGCAUUUAUUAAUAUCUUUUAAAAAAAUCGCUCCAUCCCUAUGAUAGUACAUAAAAUUUAAAUACAUUAAUAAUUUAAUUUAACAUCUAUCAUUAAAAUUUAUUUUUUUUAAAAUGAUAUUUUAUUAAUUUACCCUUGACCAAAAUUUAAACUAUUAUCCAUUAAAAAAAAUUAAAAUUUAUUUAAUUUUUUCAACAUUAGUUAGACAUAAACUAUUACCCAUAAAAAUAUAUUUAAUAUGUACGUAAUUUUUUAAAUUUUAAUUAGAUAUAAACUAUUAUAAAAAUUAUAUUUAAUAUUUACAUAAUUUUUUAAAUUUUAAUUAUACUAAAUUACUAUCCAUAAAAAUAAUAUUUAAUAUUUACAAAUUUUUUUAAUUUUGAUUAGAUUAAAUUAUUACCCAUAAAAAUACUAUUUAAAAUUUAUACUAUUUUACUAAUUUUGAUUAGAUUAAAUUAUUACCCAUAAAAGUAAUAUUUAAAAUUUACAUAAUUUUUUCUAAUUUUAAGUAGAUUAAACUACUACACACAAUAAUAGUAUUAAUAAUUAAGUGAAAUAAACAAUAAUAAAUUAACAACAUAAUGAAAUAAAUAAAUAAAUAUAAAUUAAUUCUUAACAAUAAAGAAUAAUGUAAAAAAAAUAAUAUGAGAAAAUAACUCAUCUUGAAAAGGAGAAAAAAUCGAUAAUGGAUGGUAGAUUUGAAAAAAUAAAAUUUGUGAAUUAAAAUGAAAUUUGUUAGAUAAAAAUUGAGGAAGGAAAAAAAAAUGGGAGGCUGCAGUAGAACUGAGAAAAAAAUUAAAGAAUGAGGGAAGAAUUUAAGUUUUUGGAGUAUUAGUGUGAAAUUACACUAAUACUCCUAAAAAAUUUAAAAAUUUCAAGAGAUCCAUGUCUCAUUUGACUUUACGUUGAGCCCGUUGUCGAUUUUUAUUUUGUUAAAAAAAUUUAGUUAUCAUAUAAAAAUUAUCAAUUAAUUACUAUUUCUUUGUAAAAAAUAUUUUAAAUAUUUUUAUAAUAUUUACGAUUAAAAUUAAUAAAAAUUUUAAAAUAUAAAAAAUAUUUUAUUAUAUUUUUAAAAUUAAAUAACUAAUUAAUAAAUCUUUUAAUAUUAUAAAAAUUAAAUAAUAAUUUUAUUUUUUUUACAUCUUAAAUAAACCCAAGAAGCUUUUGAUAGCAACUCCUAAGGUAAAUGCAUAUUCAAAAUUCACCUCUAAAUUUUUUAUUAUUUCUUAGCAUGAUUAAUCUUAUCAGAAAAAGGCUAAAAUAAAUUAUUUAUUUAAGCUAAAAUUAGAAAUCGAGUUAAUUCCGAUAAAAAAGAAAAUUUGAGUUUAUUAAGAUGUUUAUUAAAAAUUUAGAGUAAAAUUGAAAUUCUGUUCGAUCACAAUAAUUAGAUAAACUUUUUCAACACAUGAAUUCCGUCCAAAGAGAAAAAAUUAUCUGCUUAACUUCAACUGCCGCAAAGAAUAAGAAAAAAGAGUGAAAAAUUUCCCGAGCAAAGGAGAGAGAAACCGUGAGAUAAAUGUCAGUUUUCACAAUUCUGGAGAAACAAAGUCUCAAUCGACGCUUGUUUUCUCAGACUUGAUGAGAGUUGGUGGCUCGCUUUCGACCGCUGGGAGGCUUCUAAUUGCUGCAACGCCAAUACUUUGAAAUCGCCCUACUACGUCUGUCCGGGAUUCAUGCUCUCCUUGGACUUUGCGGCUUCUCCUUCUCACGCACCAUGAUUUUGAUAUGGGCUGCCUUUGAUCUGUCUUGUUUUUUGAAUUUUUAAAUGUGAGUUGUAUGGCUAGUUUGUGCACUAAAGUUAUCGCUGGUGUUGCUAGUACUGACCGUCCAUAUUAUUAUCCAUCCGUAUUAAUAGGUGAUGCUGUAGCGUGGAUUUCUUUCUAGUGGUGCAUUAUUAUUUUUGUCAAUUUCAAACAGUUUUUCUUUUCCUAUGGAUGGUUUGGAUUGGAUGGAGCUGAAUAAAUUUGGUUGAAUAGAUUGAGUUAUGAUAAGUCUCGAUUUUGAACUGAUUUAUGAUUGAUUUUAAUUAAUUUUUUUAAUUUAGAUUAAAAUUUUUAUCUGAUUUUAUUCUAAUUAUAUGCUGAUCUUGACUCUGUCCGUACCUUUUAAUGCCUUGUUAAAUAUAAAUCUUAGCUGUUCGGAAAAAAAACUUCAACUGCUACAUCGCAAAGCACAUUUACAAUUCCUUGAAAAAUCAAGUUAGGCUUCAAAAAGCUUUGACGUCCAAAGCCUCCAUUGGGACCCACAGUAGAACGCAGCAACGACUCGCUUGUACGAGUCACGGCCUCUGCGUGACUCACACCUCUCUCUCUCUCUCUCAAGCCACUUCUGCUACUUGCCGACUUCUACAGUACUAAAUUUGAGUUGACCCUCUCUGUGUAACAUUUUGUACUUCUUCAUCUGGUUUUUGCUACUUCUAAUUUCAUAUUCCCAUUAACUUGCUCUAAAAAUGGCUCCUUUUUCCAUUCUCUCUUUCUCCCUUUCCAUCCUCUUCUUCUCUUCUUCUCUUUGCUUCUCUAGUUGUUCAUUCUGGCAUUUUGAAUCAGCUAUUUUCACUUAAUAAGCAAUGAAUUAAUGCGUUGAGAAAAUAUUUAUGAAAGCAGAAGAAUAUGGUUCAAAGCCUCUUCUUCAUUGUUUAGGCUUGAAAACAUAUGGUUUAUUAGAUUUGGGAAUUUUCACUCAAAUAUUUUGCUUCCUGGCAUUGUUUCAGUUUCGAGCACAACAAGCUUAAUGGACCAGAGCUGAAGGGACUAGUGCCUUACAACUUCGGAGGCUGAAGCAAAAGCGGCUCGAUUUACUUGAUAAAUCUUGUAAGGACCCUAAUGCUUGCUGGGGAGUAUCUAUAUGAUUAAAACAGAAGGGUUGAUAUCCCUGGCUACAAUCUGUUGUUGAUGAUGGCUCAGCAUAUAUAUGUUUUGUCUUCAAGUAUUAUUAUUAUUCUGGCUGAAUGCUUGUUCUGCUGUAUCCGUUUCAUAGAAAGAAACAGGAGGCAUGGAAAUUUUUUCAAUGCUUAUGAGGUGGGAUUUACAUUUUUUUUUUUUUUUUUAUAGAAAAAGAGAUAGAGCCCUUAUUUUAUCAAUGUAGGCCAUGAAAGCCCCAACCUAUCAGCAUUGGUAAAAAUUUAAUAAUAACAGGAGGCCAUUGAUGAAUUUUCAAAUUAAAAUCAUCAGUAAUGAUUAAACUAGUCAAACGAUCCGCUACCGCAUUUGAUUCCCUGUAAAUUUUUACUAUCUUGACUUUCCAGCUUCUAUUGAUAAGAUCAUGAUAAUUUCUCAUCAAAUUAGCAAUUCUAAAAACUCCUACACCUCUACCUGCAAGUAAAUUAACGCGAGUUGAGAAUCUGUUUGAACUUCAAUAUUCUUCCACCAUGAAUCCCAUGCUAAUACUAAAGUAUAAUAUAUUCUUCAUAGCUCAGCUUCCAUUGCUCCACAAUUAUUAUUAUUAAGAAAAAUAAUUAUUUAAUUUCAUAUUAGACAUUACAAUGUUUUAUUAUUUAAUUUUUAAUUAAUCUAUUGAUUUUAAUAAAAAAAAUCUAUUAAUUAAUUUUUUAUUAAUUUUAGAUAUUAAAUAUUUUAUUAUUUAAUUUUUAUAAUAUAUAAAAUUUAUUAAUUGAUUUUUUAAUUUUAUAAAAAUUAAAUUAGUUAAUCCUUAAACUAAUUACUCUUUCUGUCUCCUCUAAUCGGUUUAUAUUAAUUUUUCUAAAUAAUUAUCCACAGAAAUUUUACCAAUAUAAAUUUGAUAAAAUAAAAUAAUUACAAAUAAAAUGCAUCUAUUCAUAUAUAAUUUAAAGUUAUACAUGGUACUUUAUAUCUAUUGAUUUUUUUAAUCGAUUUUAAGUUAUUUUAUAUUUUAAUAUGUUAAAUUAAUUAUUGAGUUUCUAACAUACUUUAUAUUAAGAAGUAAAAUUUAUUAAUUUUAAAAAUAAUUUAAUAAUAAAAAGGGAAUAUAAAAAUAAGGCUUACCAGAACAAAAAGGUGACGGUCCAAAUUAGGCAACCCAUCCGGCUAUGCGGACUCGUGUGGCAACGGCCUGUAAUCCUUCCACUGCCAGGAGCGAGAGGUGGUCGCUGCUCUGUGAAGCCAGCCUGACGCGGUACCCUCUGCUCUAGGAAUCAGGAGAGCCAAGCCUUCGCUUGAUUCCCAUGGUUCAACUCCAAGCUUGGAAUGGGCAAGCCAGAAAUUAGCCAAACCGAAUCCAACCUCCUGGGCUGGAACAACGUCCCAUCACCUCAUAGCCCCCACUUGGGUGACAAGCCCGCGCUACUGAGCUCGGCGGUCCACUAGCGUUUGCAUAGAUUCUAUCAAUUAUUGAAAAAAGUUUCUUCUACCCGAUGUGGGAUUGAGACUUCAUGUAGGAGCAGUCGCCAGUGCCACUAAGCAGCUUGGAACAUGUACCAUUUCAAUACCCAUUUUAGAAAAAGCCAUUGCGUUAUAACACUGUGGGAAGCCAUCGAAUUAACACGUUUUCAUGGUAAUGAACAUGCAUUUAUUGUAAUUUUUUACAAAAAGAAAAAGAAAAAUCGCAUAAAAUUCGUCAUAUCAAUAAAUAAAUACCUGCACGGCAUAGUAGUGGAACAAGGAAACACACUCAAACCCUUUUAUUUUAUUUUUUUCUCUAAUAAGCUUAAUUUUAAUUUUUUUUAUUAAAUAUAUCUAUAAUAUUGUAUUAUAGUCAAAUAAAUUUAAAUAUAUUAAAAUAUUAAUAUUUUACUAUACCACGUGGGACUUUUGUUUCUGUCUCUUACCUUUAGAAACCGAAAAGUAUAUUUUAGGGGCAAGAUGAAAAUAGAUUUUCGGCAGUCUAAAGUCAAUAUUCGGCGGCCGAAUAUAUGAGACUUUUGCCUCUGUCUUUCACCUUUGAAAGCCAAAGAUUACACUUUAGGAGCAAGAUAAAAAUAGACUUUCAGCGGCUUAAAGUCAAUAUCCGGCGGCGGAACAUAUGGAACUUUUGCCUUUAUCCUUUACUUUCAGAAGCCGAAGAUUAGAUUUUAGAAGGCAUGUUGAAAACAAAUGUUUGACGGCCUAAAGUCAAUAUUCAGCGGUCGAACAUAUGAGACUUUUAUCUCUGUCCCUCAUUUUUGGAAGCCGAAAAUUGGAUUUUAUGAGCAAAAAUUAUUUCUUUAAAAUCUUAAAAAAUCAUAAUUUAGGCUAUGAAACUCAAUUUUUCAAUCCAUUUGAAUUCUUGCAACCUACAUUUUUAGAUCUAUUAUUUUGAUAAAAAAUAAUUUUGAAAUCGCUCAUUUUAGAAAAUUUUAUUUUGAUCUCUCAAAAUCAAUUACUUAAAACUUGGCCAUAUUUAUAUUAUUUUAGAAUUAAAAGAAACUUGAUCCAUCACAAUUACUUAACUGAAAUUCAUAAUGCAUAAAAUUGAUAAAAGAAAAAAAAUUAUAUUCUGAUCCAUUUCUUAUAAUAUACUUCCAAAAUUAAUACUUUUUCAUUCUUGAUACUGAAGCAAUCUCAUUUAUUUUAAUAAGUGACCUACAAACUCAAUACAAAUACUUUUGAAUACAAUUAGUAGCAUAUUAAUUAUUUAUUAAUCAUCAAAACACAGAUUAAAACAUUUAGAUCCAACAAAAGUAAUAUUUUAACUUUACAUAAUUUUUUUAAUUUUAAGUAGACUAAACUCCUAUCUAUAAUAAUAGUAUUAAUAAUUAAGUGAAAUAAACAAUAAUAAAUUAACAACAUAAUGAAAUAAAUAAAAGAUAUAAAUUAAUUCUUAACAAUAAAAAAUAAUAUAAAAAAUAAAAUGGAAAAAUAACUCACCUUGAAAAAGAGAAAAAGAUGAAUAAUGGACAGUGAAUUUGAAAAAAGAAAAUUUGCAAAUUAAAAUGAAAUUUGGUAGAUAAAAAUUGAGAGAUAAAAGAAAAUGGGAGAUUGGGGACUGCCGUGGAACUGAGAAAAAAAAAACGAAAAAAUAAGGGAAGAAUUUAAGUUCUUAGAGUAUUAUUGUGAAAUUACACUAAUGCCUCUAAAAAAUUUAAAACAUUCAGGAGGCGUAUAACCCUUUUAGCCUAGGUUGGAUUUAUCGUUAAUUUUAUUCGUUAUUAUUUUAUUAAAAAAAUUUAAUUGAUCAUAUAAAAAUAUUAAUUAAUUAAUAUUUUUAUAUGAAAAAUAUUUUAAAUUUUUCUAUAGUAUUUACAGUUAAAAUUAAUAAAAAUUUUAAAACAUAAAAAAUAUUUUACUAUAUUUUUAAAGUAAAAUAAUUAAUUAAUAAAUUUUUUAAUAUUAUAAAAAUUAAAAAAUAAUUUUAUUUUUUUAUUUUUUAUUAUUAUUAAAAAAAAUAAUUAUUUAAUUCCUUGAAUCUAGAGAAACUCAUUAGUUAGUCCAUUGAUAUUAAUGAGAAAAUUUACUAAUCAGUCUUUUGUUAAUUUUAGAUAUUAAAUGUUGUAUUAUUUAAUUUCUAUAAUAUAUAAAAUUUAUUAGUUGAUUUUUUAAUUUUAUAAAAAUUAAAUUUAUUAAUCCUUAAAUUGAUAGCAUUUUAUAUUUUUCUCAACAAAGCCAAUAAUAGAAAAAUUAAUUAAUAAAAUUUAUAAUAUUAAUAUAUUUUUUAAAAUUAAAAAAUUAAUUAAUGAAUUUUUUUUAUAUUAUAAAUUAAAUAAUAAUUUUCUCUUAUUAUUAUUAUUAUUUACUCCUUUUGUUCCACUAAAACUUUUUAGCUCAUCACACAGACCAAAAUAAUGAUUGUUUUAUCUUUUUUUUAUAAAAAAUUAUUGGUGACAUUCAAUAUUAGUAACGGCAAAAUAAUAAUUUAAGAAGUUUUAUAUUGAAUGGAACAAAAUUAUUCUUAAAAAAUUUUAGAUUGAGCGAAACAUAAGGAGUAAUUUCUUGAGUUUGAUUAGGUGAUGGAUACAUAUUUUUGGUGCUGAUGUUUGAACUUAACUAAAUUUGUUAGAUUUUACUUGAGAAUUACUUGUAAAAAUGGACAGAGAAUCUCAUUUCUUUAUUUAAAUAUUUAAAAUUACCUACUCGAAUGGCUUACCUAUACUGUAUUUAAAGAAAGUAAAUUUGGAAAAAUAUAAUCGGACUCUUUUUUUAAUGACUUUAAAUCAAAUAAAUUAUUUUUUAGAUUUAAUAAAAAAAAUUCAGUUUGUUUAUUUUAUGUAUAAUUUAUUUUAAAUUGAUAAACUAAUUACUCUUUUUAUCUUCCAAAUAUAGUUUUCUUUUCAUUUGAAUUAAAAAUAAAAAAAAGUGAUGGUCCAAUUAGGCAACCCAUCAGGCCAUGCGGACUCGUUUGACAACCGGCCUGUAAUCCUUCCACUGCCAGGAGCGAGAGGUGGUCGCUGCUCUGUGAAGCCAGCCUAACGCGGUACCCUCUGCUCUAGGAACCAGGAGAGCCAAGCCUUCGCUUGAGUCCCAUGGUUCAACUCCCAGCUUGGAAUGGGCAAGCCAGAAAUUAGCCAGACCGAAUCCAACCAUCUGGGCUGGGACAACGUCCCAUCACCUCAUAACCCCCACUUGGGUGACAAGCCCGCGCUACUGAGCUCGGCAGUCAACAAGCGUUUGCAUCGAUUCUAUCAAUUAUUGAAAAAAAUUUCUUCUGCCCGAUGUGGGAUUGAGACUUCAUGUAGGAGCGGCCUCCAGUGCCACUAAGCAGCUUGGAACAUGUACCAUUUCAAUACCCAUUUUAGAAAAAUCCAUUGCGUCAUAACACUGUGGUAAGCCAUCGAAUUCACACGUUUCAUGCAUUUAUUGUAAUUUCUUACAAAAAUAAAUAGAAAAAUCGCAUAAAAAUUCGUCAUCUCAAUAAAUAAAUACCUGCAUGGGCAUGGCAUAGGAGUGGAACAAGGAAAUAAACCCAAACCCUUGUAUUUUUUUUUCGGCUCCAAUAAGCUUAAUUUUAAAUUUUUUAAUUAAAUAUAUCUAUAAUUUUGUAUUAUAGUCAAGUAAAUUCAAACAUAUUAAAAUAUUAAUAUUUUACUAUGUUUAAAUUUAUUUAGCCCUUAAUUUAAAGAUAUGAAUUUAUAUAAUUAAAAAAAUAAAAUUAAACUUAUAUAGUCAUGGGAAAAAAAAGUAUAUAGUCAAAUUUGAACAUAUUCCUAUUGAAAAUUUACCAUUCUAUACAUAAUUUUAAAUAAUAAAAUUAAAAUUAUUUUAAUUUGUUAUUAUUAUAAUUAAGACACCUAAAUUAAAUCUCAAAAGUUAAUGAUAACUUACAAUAUAAUUUUUAAAAUUUUAUUUGACUAAUAAAAUAGUUUUAAAUAUAUAUUUUUAUUUUCAUAAUAUUAUUUUUUUAAUUUUAUUAUUUACUUUUCAAUCUCAUUUAUAUACAUAUAUUAUAAUUUAAUAAAAGUUUAAAAUAUGAAAAAUUUAUAGACUUAAAAUAUGAAAAAUUUAUAGAUUAAAAUAUAUAAUAUUUCAUUUCAUUUGAUAUUAUUAAUAUAAGGUGUUUGUUCGAUACAUUAAUAAAUUAAUUUAUAUCACAAAUUUAUUUAUUAUAUAGAUGAAUAAAAUAAAAUAAUAAAUAUUUCAAUAACUUUUGGGAAAUGUGCUUAAAAGAUGUAAGUUUUUAGAAAAAUGAUAAAAGGAAAAAUUUUGCAGAUUAAAACACAUAAUAUUUUAUUUUAUUUAAUAUUAUUAAUAUAAAAUAUAAUUUUUUAAUAUAUUAAAAAUAUGUAUAAAAUGGUGAUUAUAAAUAUUUUAAUAUAUAAUAUUUAUAUGUGAUAUUUUAUUUAAUAAAAAUUUAUUUGUAGUAAAUAUUUAUUUAAUAUUAUAUAUUAUAAAUAUAAAAUAAAAUAAAAUAAAAUUUAAAUUAAAAGACUAUAUAUUUUAUGAAUAUAAAAUUUUAAAAAAUUAUAUUAUAAUUUGCUAUAAUUUUUAAAUUUAAUAAAUUAAAAAAAUUAAAUUUAUUAUUCAAAAUUUAAACUUUUAGAUAUAAAUAUAAUUAACGUAUAUGUUUAGAUUUUUUUUUAUUUAAUAUUUUUUAUGUGGUAUGAUAUGUUGAUUAAAAAAUUUUUAAUAAAAAAAUGAUUGAAAUUAAUAAUUAAAAUUGAGAAAAAUAUAAAAAAAUUUAUUUUUUUUUCUAAGAUUUAAAAUUUAAGAUAUAAUUAUAAAAAAUUGUAAAAUUUUUUUUGAGUAGGCUUUUAAGAAAUUGUGAAAGGGUACAAGUAUUUUGAAGAUUAAGGAAUAUUUUUUAUUAUUUAAAUUAGAAAGUAAAUUUUAUUAUUAAUUUGUAACGCAUUCUUUAUAUUUUUAUUUGUUUUCCAUACAAAAUAAAACUAAAAUUUCUUAGAAAAAUGGGAAAUUAUUUUUUAUAAGCUAAAUUUUUUUUUACUAUAAAUACCUUAAAACAAUAUUUAAAUUUAACAUUAUCUAAUUCUCUCAAAUUAUCAAUUCUCACAGUUCUCAAACUCUCUAUUAAACAACCUUAAUUUUCAAGUUUCCCGUUUUAUAAUAUUAUUUCUUACACCUCAAAAUAGUAUUUAAUUUUUUUUUCAAAAAAUUCAACAUAAUAUAAAUUAUAAUUAAUAUAAGCAGUAAGUUUUAUAUAUCGUUUUUCUUAGUACAACUCUAAGAAAUGUAAAUAAAUUAACAUAUAAAAAAACAAGAAAGUGAUGUCCAAUUAGGCACAGCCCAUCUGCCCUAAGAACCAGGAGAGGCCCAAAAGCCUUCGCUCGGGUCUCCAGCUUGGAAAGGGGCAAGCCAGAACUUAGUAAGACGGAAUCCAACCUUCUGGGCUGGACGCAACAUCCCAUCACUUCAUGGCCCUCACUUGAGCGACAAGCCCGCGCUA